UCCAUUGCAAUGACCGACCUUAAAGUGUCAGACAACAUUCCUAACAAGAAGCUUAAAGAGCUUGAACUUUUGCACGAAGAUGAUGAAUUUGAAGAAUUUGAAGAUGAAUGGAAUCCGCAAGGCGAUGAGGAAGAAGAUAACCUAUGGGAGACUGAUUGGGAUGUCGAAGAUGUGACUGAUGAUUUCUCUAAACAGUUACGAGCUGAAUUGGAGAGAAGUUCAAACCAGAUGACGAACUAAAUUGAGCUCAGCCUUUUUAUCAAAUCCUGAAAAGUGUCGAAUUUGCUCUGUCUAAUCUCUUCUACUAAUAAUCCUAUGUAUAUA